GACGAACCGUGCGAACGUUGUUCGGAAUCACUGGGCUUAAAGGGCGCGUAGGCGGGCACGCAAGUCAGGGGUGAAAGCCCACGGCUCAACCGUGGAAGGGCCUUUGAUACUGCGUGCCUGGAGGGAGGUAGGGGCGUGCGGAACUUCCGGUGGAGCGGUGAAAUGCGUAGAUAUCGGAAGGAACACCGGUGGCGAAGGCGGUCUGCUGGGCAGUUGCUGACACUGAUGCGCGACAGCGUGGGGAGCAAACAGG
rnacentral:rRNA from 1 species